rnacentral:rRNA from 1 species
CCUACGGGAGGCAGCAGUAGGGAAUAUUGCUCAAUGGGGGAAACCCUGAAGCAGCAACGCCGCGUGGAGGAUGAAGGUUUUAGGAUUGUAAACUCCUUUUGUUAGAGAAGUCCAUGACGGUACCUAUCCAAUAAUCACCGGCUAACUCCGUGCCAGCAGCCGCGGUAACACGGAGGGCGCAAGCGUUACUCGGAAUCACCGGGCGUAAAGGGUGCGUAGGCGGGGUGAUAAGUCAGAUGUGAAAUCCUGUGGCUUAACUGCAGAACUGCAUUUGAAACUGUUAGUCUGGAGUGUGGGAGAGGUAGGUGGAAUUCUUGGUGUAGAGGUGAAAUCCGUAGAGAUCAGGAGGAAUACUCAUUGCGAAGGCGACCUGCUGGAACAUAACUGACGCUGAUGCACGAAAGCGUGGGGAGCAAACAGGAUUAGAUACCCCAGUAGUC